UACGUAGGGUGCAAGCGUUAAUCGGAAUUACUGGGCGUAAAGCGUGCGCAGGCGGUUAUGUAAGACAGGUGUGAAAUCCCAGGGCUUAACCUUGGAACUGCAUUUGUGACUGCAUAGCUAGAGUACGGUAGAGGGGGAUGGAAUUCCGCGUGUAGCAGUGAAAUGCGUAGAUAUGCGGAGGAACACCGAUGGCGAAGGCAAUCCCCUGGACCUGUACUGACGCUCAUGCACGAGAGCGUGGGGAGCAAACAGG
rnacentral:rRNA from 1 species